rnacentral:rRNA from 1 species
UAGUCCACGCCGUAAACGAUGAGUGCUAGAUGUUGGACUUUGUUCAGUAUCGUAGCUAACGCAUUAAGCACUCCGCCUGGGAAGUACGGUCGCAAGAUUAAAACUUAAAGGAAUUGACGGGGACCCGCACAAGCGGUGGAUCAUGUGGUUUAAUUCGAGGCAACGCGAAGAACCUUACCACUUCUUGACAUGCUUGUCGCGAGCCUCCUUACAGAGGCUCUUCAGUUCGGCUGGACAAUGCACAGGUGCUGCAUGGCUGUCGUCAGCUCGUGUCGUGAGAUGUUGGGUUAAGUCCCGCAACGAGCGCAACCCUCGCCAUUAGUUGCCAUCAGGUUAUGCUGGGUACUCUAAUGGAACUGCCGGUGACAAGCCGGAGGAAGGUGGGGAUGACGUCAAGUCUUCAUGGCCCUUAUGAGGUGGGCUACACACGUGAUACAAUGGCGGUUACAGUAGGCUGCGACUCUGUGAAGAGAAGCUAAUCCUUAAAAACCG